GGGGAAUAUUGGGCAAUGGAGGAAACUCUGACCCAGCGACGCCGCGUGAGGGAUGAAGGCCUUCGGGUUGUAAACCUCUUUCAGUAGGGAAGAAGCGAAAGUGACGGUACCUACAGAAGAAGCACCGGCUAACUAUGUGCCAGCAGCCGCGGUAAUACAUAGGGUGCAAGCGUUGUCCGGAAUUAUUGGGCGUAAAGAGCUCGUAGGUGGUUCGAUACGUCGGAUGUGAAAAUCAGGGGCUCAACCCCUGACCUGCAUCCGAUACGGUCGAGCUAGAGUUUGGUAGGGGAGACUGGAAUUCCUGGUGUAGCGGUGGAAUGCGCAGAUAUCAGGAGGAACACCGAUGGCGAAGGCAGGUCUCUGGGCCAAUACUGACACUGAGGAGCGAAAGCGUGGGGAGCGAACAGGA
rnacentral:rRNA from 1 species